GGGCUUGUAAAGGUUUCGACGGGGGUUUUGAAGUUUGGGAAGCCAUCCGCGGCUUUUGGGACCGCGUUACCAACCUGAAAACUAAAUAUAAACGCAGAUAAUAAAGAAUUUGCAUUAGCAGCUUGAUGCUGCUUGUCGUGACUGAAGAGUCCUGCGGCUUUUAUCACGACAUCAUUUUAUCAGCAGGGAACUUCAUCUCCUAAGCUUUGCGGAGAAGGAAGAAACUAUGAAGCUACCGAGCCUGUAAGCCUGUCAUUUGGCGUAUAGGCAAGGGAAUUCCAAUAAAAUGACUGUGAUGGGAGAUGCCCGGAUGAAUAGGCUUUCGGACGCGGGUUCGAUUCCCGCCAGGUCCACU
rnacentral:tmRNA from 1 species